UCCCUGGCGGUCCAGUGGUUAGGACUCUGUGCUUUCACUGCCAAGGACCCAGGUUCAAAUCCUGGUCAAGGAA
rnacentral:tRNA from 1 species